GUCCCCGUAGCUCAGUUGGAUAGAGCACAGGAUUCCUAAUCCUGGGGCCGCAGGUUCGACUCCUGCCGGGGACACCA
rnacentral:tRNA from 1 species